GAUGAACGCUGGCGGCGUGCCUAAUACAUGCAAGUCGAGCGAACGGACGAGAAGCUUGCUUUUCUGAUGUUAGCGGCGGACGGGUGAGUAACACGUGGAUAACCUACCUAUAAGACUGGGAUAACUUCGGGAAACCGGAGCUAAUACCGGAUAAUAUUUUGAACCGCAUGGUUCAAAAGUGAAAGACGGUCUUGCUGUCACUUAUAGAUGGAUCCGCGCUUCAUUAGCUAGUUGGUAAGGUAACGGCUUACCAAGGCAACGAUGCAUAGCCGACCUGAGAGGGUGAUCGGCCACACUGGAACUGAGACACGGUCCAGACUCCUACGGGAGGCAGCAGUAGGGAAUCUUCCGCAAUGGGCGAAAGCCUGACGGAGCAACGCCGCGUGAGUGAUGAAGGUCCUCGGAUCGUAAAACUCUGUUAUUAGGGAAGAACAUAUGUGUACGUAACUGUGCACAUCUUGACGGUACCUAAUCAGAAAGCCACGGCUAACUACGUG
rnacentral:rRNA from 1 species